GGAGGAAUAUUGGUCAAUGGGGCGGAAGCCUGAACCAGCCAAGUAGCGUGAGGGAAGACUGCCCUAUGGGUUGUAAACCUCUUUUAUAAGGGAAUAAAAUACGGGACGUGUCCUGUUUUGCAUGUACCUUAUGAAUAAGGACCGGCUAAUUCCGUGCCAGCAGCCGCGGUAAUACGGAAGGUCCGGGCGUUAUCCGGAUUUAUGGGUUUAAAGGGAGCGUAGGCCGUCUUAUAAGCGUGUUGUGAAAUGUCGGGGCUCAACCUGGGCAUUGCAGCGCGAACUGUGAGACUUGAGUGCGCAGGAAGUAGGCGGAAUUCGUCGUGUAGCGGUGAAAUGCUUAGAUAUGACGAAGAACUCCGAUUGCGAAGGCAGCCUGCUGUAGCG
rnacentral:rRNA from 1 species